CAUCAACCUAGACACAUCCAUGGCUUAAAUACGCACAAGUUAUCCUUUACAGCAUGGCCACAUGAAGCAGCAUCUGCUCGACCGCUUUGCCGGAGAUUUCGGUGGAAUCACACGGGCCCUUCCGCAUGCCCAUCGAGCGUGAUCAGUGCAGACCAGAAGCUACGUACCAGUACCACUGCUCAACCCCGGAAGAGAAAGACCAGAAGCUGGUUCAUGGACGGGUUACCGACAUAGAUGGUCGCCGACAACGAGAUGGGAUUGGCUCGAGUCGUUGGGCUUCUCUUGUUUCCAUAUGUACGCUUGUUCUGUGACGGUGAAGCGCGUUGAAGACGAGGGAUUUGGGGCGGGACAACUGUGUGGUGGAAGUGCACAAGGCUGCCUGGGAAUGCGAUACUGUUGUCUCGACUCGGGUCAGUCGAUCGAGUUCUUGGUUUGCAUUCGUCCCCCCAAACCGACCCGUUCGGUGAUAGCGAAGUUGUUCGAUAAAAUAAAAUAUUUUGUUCAAUUAUUCUUA